GGUUAAGCGACUAAGCGUACACGGUGGAUGCCCUGGCAGUCAGAGGCGAUGAAGGACGUGCUAAUCUGCGAUAAGCGUCGGUAAGGUGAUAUGAACCGUUAUAACCGGCGAUUUCCGAAUGGGGAAACCCAGUGUGUUUCGACACACUAUCAUUAACUGAAUCCAUAGGUUAAUGAGGCGAACCGGGGGAACUGAAACAUCUAAGUACCCCGAGGAAAAGAAAUCAACCGAGAUUCCCCCAGUAGCGGCGAGCGAACGGGGAGCAGCCCAGAGCCUGAAUCAGUGUGUGUGUUAGUGGAAGCGUCUGGAAAGGCGCGCGAUACAGGGUGACAGCCCCGUACACAAAAAUGCACAUGCUGUGAGCUCGAUGAGUAGGGCGGGACACGUGGUAUCCUGUCUGAAUAUGGGGGGACCAUCCUCCAAGGCUAAAUACUCCUGACUGACCGAUAGUGAACCAGUACCGUGAGGGAAAGGCGAAAAGAACCCCGGCGAGGGGAGUGAAAAAGAACCUGAAACCGUGUACGUACAAGCAGUGGGAGCACGCUUAGGCGUGUGACUGCGUACCUUUUGUAUAAUGGGUCAGCGACUUAUAUUCUGUAGCAAGGUUAACCGAAUAGGGGAGCCGAAGGGAAACCGAGUCUUAACUGGGCGUUAAGUUGCAGGGUAUAGACCCGAAACCCGGUGAUCUAGCCAUGGGCAGGUUGAAGGUUGGGUAACACUAACUGGAGGACCGAACCGACUAAUGUUGAAAAAUUAGCGGAUGACUUGUGGCUGGGGGUGAAAGGCCAAUCAAACCGGGAGAUAGCUGGUUCUCCCCGAAAGCUAUUUAGGUAGCGCCUCGUGAAUUCAUCUCCGGGGGUAGAGCACUGUUUCGGCAAGGGGGUCAUCCCGACUUACCAACCCGAUGCAAACUGCGAAUACCGGAGAAUGUUAUCACGGGAGACACACGGCGGGUGCUAACGUCCGUCGUGAAGAGGGAAACAACCCAGACCGCCAGCUAAGGUCCCAAAGUCAUGGUUAAGUGGGAAACGAUGUGGGAAGGCCCAGACAGCCAGGAUGUUGGCUUAGAAGCAGCCAUCAUUUAAAGAAAGCGUAAUAGCUCACUGGUCGAGUCGGCCUGCGCGGAAGAUGUAACGGGGCUAAACCAUGCACCGAAGCUGCGGCAGCGACGCUUAUGCGUUGUUGGGUAGGGGAGCGUUCUGUAAGCCUGCGAAGGUGUGCUGUGAGGCAUGCUGGAGGUAUCAGAAGUGCGAAUGCUGACAUAAGUAACGAUAAAGCGGGUGAAAAGCCCGCUCGCCGGAAGACCAAGGGUUCCUGUCCAACGUUAAUCGGGGCAGGGUGAGUCGACCCCUAAGGCGAGGCCGAAAGGCGUAGUCGAUGGGAAACAGGUUAAUAUUCCUGUACUUGGUGUUACUGCGAAGGGGGGACGGAGAAGGCUAUGUUGGCCGGGCGACGGUUGUCCCGGUUUAAGCGUGUAGGCUGGUUUUCCAGGCAAAUCCGGAAAAUCAAGGCUGAGGCGUGAUGACGAGGCACUACGGUGCUGAAGCAACAAAUGCCCUGCUUCCAGGAAAAGCCUCUAAGCAUCAGGUAACAUCAAAUCGUACCCCAAACCGACACAGGUGGUCAGGUAGAGAAUACCAAGGCGCUUGAGAGAACUCGGGUGAAGGAACUAGGCAAAAUGGUGCCGUAACUUCGGGAGAAGGCACGCUGAUAUGUAGGUGAAGUCCCUUGCGGAUGGAGCUGAAAUCAGUCGAAGAUACCAGCUGGCUGCAACUGUUUAUUAAAAACACAGCACUGUGCAAACACGAAAGUGGACGUAUACGGUGUGACGCCUGCCCGGUGCCGGAAGGUUAAUUGAUGGGGUCAGCGCAAGCGAAGCUCUUGAUCGAAGCCCCGGUAAACGGCGGCCGUAACUAUAACGGUCCUAAGGUAGCGAAAUUCCUUGUCGGGUAAGUUCCGACCUGCACGAAUGGCGUAAUGAUGGCCAGGCUGUCUCCACCCGAGACUCAGUGAAAUUGAACUCGCUGUGAAGAUGCAGUGUACCCGCGGCAAGACGGAAAGACCCCGUGAACCUUUACUAUAGCUUGACACUGAACAUUGAGCCUUGAUGUGUAGGAUAGGUGGGAGGCUUGGAAGUGUGGACGCCAGUCUGCAUGGAGCCGACCUUGAAAUACCACCCUUUAAUGUUUGAUGUUCUAACGUUGACCCGUAAUCCGGGUUGCGGACAGUGUCUGGUGGGUAGUUUGACUGGGGCGGUCUCCUCCUAAAGAGUAACGGAGGAGCACGAAGGUUGGCUAAUCCUGGUCGGACAUCAGGAGGUUAGUGCAAUGGCAUAAGCCAGCUUGACUGCGAGCGUGACGGCGCGAGCAGGUGCGAAAGCAGGUCAUAGUGAUCCGGUGGUUCUGAAUGGAAGGGCCAUCGCUCAACGGAUAAAAGGUACUCCGGGGAUAACAGGCUGAUACCGCCCAAGAGUUCAUAUCGACGGCGGUGUUUGGCACCUCGAUGUCGGCUCAUCACAUCCUGGGGCUGAAGUAGGUCCCAAGGGUAUGGCUGUUCGCCAUUUAAAGUGGUACGCGAGCUGGGUUUAGAACGUCGUGAGACAGUUCGGUCCCUAUCUGCCGUGGGCGCUGGAGAACUGAGGGGGGCUGCUCCUAGUACGAGAGGACCGGAGUGGACGCAUCACUGGUGUUCGGGUUGUCAUGCCAAUGGCACUGCCCGGUAGCUAAAUGCGGAAGAGAUAAGUGCUGAAAGCAUCUAAGCACGAAACUUGCCCCGAGAUGAGUUCUCCCUGACUCCUUGAGAGUCCUGAAGGAACGUUGAAGACGACGACGUUGAUAGGCCGGGUGUGUAAGCGCAGCGAUGCGUUGAGCUAACCGGUACUAAUGAACCGUGAGGCUUAACCUU
rnacentral:rRNA from 1 species